AUUGAACGCUGGCGGCAGGCCUAACACAUGCAAGUCGAACGAGUGGCGGACGGGUGAGUAAUGUCUGGAAACUGCCUGAUGGAGGGGGAUAAAUACCGGGAACGGGAGCUAAUACCCCAUACCAUCAGGUGUUCCCCUAUGGGAUUAGCUUGUGGGGGGGGUAAAGGCUCACCAAGGCGACGAUCCCUUGCUGGGCUGAGAGGAUGACCAGACACACUGGAACUGAGACACGGUCCAGACUCCUACGGGAGGCAGCAGUGGGGAAUAUUGCACAAUGGGCGCAAGCCUGAUGCAGCCAUGCCGCGUGUAUGAAGAAGGCCUUCGGGUUGUAAAGUACUUUCAGCGGGGAGGCGUUACCCGCAGAAGAAGCACCGGCUAACUCCGUGCCAGCAGCCGCGGUAAUAC
rnacentral:rRNA from 1 species